rnacentral:rRNA from 1 species
UACGAAGGGGGCUAGCGUUGCUCGGAAUUACUGGGCGUAAAGCGCACGUAGGCGGCUUUCUAAGUCGGGGGUGAAAUCCUGGAGCUCAACUCCAGAACUGCCUUCGAUACUGGAGAGCUCGAGUCCGGGAGAGGUGAGUGGAACUGCGAGUGUAUAGGUGAAAUUCGUAGAUAUUCGCAAGAACACCAGUGGCGAAGGCGGCUCACUGGCCCGGUACUGACGCUGAGGUGCGAAAGCGUGGGGAGCAAACAGG